UUUGAUCCUUCGAUGUCGGCUC
rnacentral:ncRNA from 3 species